AGAGUUUGAUCCUGGCUCAGAACGAACGCUGGCGGCAGGCUUAACACAUGCAGGUCGAACGCCCCGCAAGGGGAGUGGCAGACGGGUGAGUAACACGUGGGAACAUGCCCAAAGGUACGGAAUAUUCUCGGGAAACUGGGAGCAAUACCGUAUGUGCCCGAAAGGGGAAAGAUUUAUCGCCUUUGGAUUGGCCCGCGUCGGAUUAGCUUGUUGGUGGGGUAAUGGCCUACCAAGGCGACGAUCCGUAGCUGGUCUGAGAGGACGACCAGCCACACUGGGACUGAGACACGGCCCAGACUCCUACGGGAGGCAGCAGUGGGGAAUCUUGGACAAUGGGCGCAAGCCUGAUCCAGCCAUGCCGCGUGAGGGAUGAAGGCCCUAGGGUUGUAAAACUCUUUCGUCAGGGACGAUAAUGACGGUACCUGAAGAAGAAGCCCCGGCUAACUUCGUGCCAGCCGCCGCGGUAAUAC
rnacentral:rRNA from 1 species